rnacentral:rRNA from 1 species
UACGUAGGGAGCAAGCGUUGUCCGGAAUUAUUGGGCGUAAAGAGCGUGUAGGCGGCUUUACAGGUCCGUUGUGAAAACUCGAGGCUCAACCUCGAGACGCCGGUGGAAACCGUAAAGCUAGAGUCCGGAAGAGGAGAGUGGAAUUCCUGGUGUAGCGGUGAAAUGCGCAGAUAUCAGGAAGAACACCCGUGGCGAAGGCGGCUCUCUGGGACGGUACUGACGCUGAGACGCGAAAGCGUGGGGAGCGAACAGG